rnacentral:rRNA from 1 species
GAUGAACGCUAGCGGCAGGCCUAACACAUGCAAGUCGAACGGUAACAGAGGGAGCUUGCUCCCUGCUGACGAGUGGCGCACGGGUGCGUAACGCGUAUACAAUCUACCUUUUACAGGGGGAUAGCCUUUAGAAAUGAAGAUUAAUACCCCAUGGUAUAAUUAUUUGGCAUCAAAUGAUUAUUAAAGUUUCGGCGGUAAAAGAUGAGUAUGCGUUCUAUUAGCUAGAUGGUUUGGUAACGGCAGACCAUGGCAACGAUAGAUAGGGGCCCUGAGAGGGGGAUCCCCCACACUGGUACUGAGACACGGACCAG